rnacentral:rRNA from 1 species
UACGAAGGGGGCUAGCGUUGUUCGGAUUUACUGGGCGUAAAGCGCACGUAGGCGGCUCGUUAAGUCGGGGGUGAAAUCCUGGAGCUCAACUCCAGAACUGCCUUCGAUACUGGCGAUCUCGAGUCCGGAAGAGGUGAGUGGAACUCCUAGUGUAGAGGUGGAAUUCGUAGAUAUUAGGAAGAACACCAGUGGCGAAGGCGACUCACUGGUCCGGUACUGACGCUGAGGUGCGAAAGCGUGGGGAGCAAACAGG